rnacentral:rRNA from 1 species
AUUGAACGCUGGCGGAAUGCUUUACACAUGCAAGUCGAGCGGCAGCACGGGGGCAACCCUGGUGGCGAGCGGCGAACGGGUGAGUAAUACAUCGGAACAUGCCCAGUCGUGGGGGAUAACACUUCGAAAGAAGUGCUAAUACCGCAUACGUCCUGAGGGGGAAAGCGGGGGAUCGCAAGACCUCGCGCGAUUGGAGUGGCCGAUGUCAGAUUAGCUAGUGGUGGGGUAAAGGCCUACCAAGGCAACGAUCUGUAGCUGGUCUGAGAGGAUGAUCAGCCACACUGGGACUGAGACACGGCCCAGACUCCUACGGGAGGCAGCAGUGGGGAAUUUUGGACAAUGGGGGCAACCCCGAUCCAGCCAUUCCGCGUGAGUGAAGAAGGCCUUCGGGUUGUAAAGCUCUUUCGGCAGGAACGAAACGGUGAGCUCUAACAUAGCUUGCUAAUGACGGUACCUGAAGAAGAAGCACCGGCUAACUACGUG